GACGAACGCUGGCGGCGUGCUUAACACAUGCAAGUCGAGCGGUAAGGCCCUUUCGGGGGUACACGAGCGGCGAACGGGUGAGUAACACGUGAGUGACCUGCCCUCAGCUCUGGGAUAAGCCUGGGAAACCGGGUCUAAUACCGGAUAUGACUCCAUGACGCAUGUUGUGGGGUGGAAAGCCUUGUGCGGCUGAGGAUGGGCCCGCGGCCUAUCAGCUUGUUGGUGGGGUGAGGCCUACCAAGGCGACGACGGGUAGCCGGCCUGAGAGGGCGACCGGCCACACUGGGACUGAGACACGGCCCAGACUCCUACGGGAGGCAGCAGUGGGGAAUCUUGCGCAAUGGGCGAAAGCCUGACGCAGCGACGCCGCGUGAGGGAUGACGGCCUGG
rnacentral:rRNA from 1 species